UUGGAGGGCAAGUCUGGUGCCAGCAGCCGCGGUAAUUCCAGCUCCAAUAGCGUAUAUUAAAGUUGUUGCAGUUAAAAAGCUCGUAGUUGAAUUUCGGGAUUGACGUGAUGGUCGUGCCUUACGGGGUAUGAACUGUUGCUGUUGAUUUCUCACCUUCUGGAGAAACUUGAUGUCCUUAAUUGGGUGUCUUGCGGAUCCAGGACCUUUACCUUGAAAAAAUUAGAGUGUUUAAAGCAGGCAUUUUUGCUCGAAUACAUUAGCAUGGAAUAAUAGAAUAGGACGGCAUGGUUCUAUUUUGUUGGUUUCUAGGAUCACCGUAAUGAUUAAUAGGGAUAGUUGGGGGCAUUAGUAUUCAAUUGUCAGAGGUGAAAUUCUUGGAUUUAUUGAAGACUAACUACUGCGAAAGCAUUUGCCAAGGAUGUUUUCAUUAAUCAAGAACGAAAGUUAGGGGAUCGAAGACGAUCAGAUACCGUCGUAGUCUUAACCAUAAACUAUGCCGACUAGGAAUCAGACGAUGUUAAUUUUUUAAUGACUCGUUCGGCGCCUUACGGGAAAC
rnacentral:rRNA from 1 species